AUUGAACGCUGGCGGCAUGCUUUACACAUGCAAGUCGAACGGUAACAGGCCUUCGGGUGCUGACGAGUGGCGAACGGGUGAGUAAUGCAUCGGAACGUGCCCAAUCGUGGGGGAUAACGUAGCGAAAGUUACGCUAAUACCGCAUAAGCCCUGAGGGGGAAAGCAGGGGAUCGCAAGGACCUUGCGCGAAUGGAGCGGCCGAUGUCAGAUUAGCUAGUUGGNGGGGUAAAGGCCUACCAAGGCGACGAUCUGUAGCGGGUCUGAGAGGAUGAUCCGCCACACUGGGACUGAGACACGGCCCAGACUCCUACGGGAGGCAGCAGUGGGGAAUUUU
rnacentral:rRNA from 1 species